AACGUAGGUGGCGAGCGUUAUCCGGAUUUACUGGGCGUAAAGCGUGUGCAGGCGGACCAACAAGUGGUGUAUGAAAUCGCUCGGCUAAACCGGGCGGGGUUAUGCCAGACUGUUGGUCUAGAGUGCGAGAGAGGGGCGUGGAAUUCCGGGUGUAGUGGUGAAAUGCGUAGAUAUCUGGAGGAACACCGGUGGCGAAGGCGGCAUCCUGGACCAACACUGACGCUGAGGAGCGAAAGCCAGGGGAGCAAAGCGGG
rnacentral:rRNA from 1 species